CGCACGGGUGAGUAACACGUAUCCAACCUGCCGUCUACUCUUGGCCAGCCUUCUGAAAGGAAGAUUAAUCCAGGAUGGCAUCAUGAGUUCACAUGUCCGCAUGAUUAAAGGUAUUUUCCGGUAGACGAUGGGGAUGCGUUCCAUUAGAUAGUAGGCGGGGUAACGGCCCACCUAGUCAACGAUGGGUAGGGGUUCUGAGAGGAAGGUCCCCCACAUUGGAACUGAGACACGGUCCAA
rnacentral:rRNA from 1 species